GCCUUGGCGUCUCAGAGAGUUUGAUCCUGGCUUAGGAUGAACGCUGGCGGCGUGCUUAACACAUGCAAGUCGAACGAAGCAACUAUCUUGCUUGCAAGAGAGUUGACUUAGUGGCGGACGGGUGAGUAACGCGUGGGUAACCUGCCUCAUACAGGGGGAUAACAGUUGGAAACGACUGCUAAGACCGCAUAACCCGCUAGUGUCGCAUGACACGGACGGAAAAUAUUUAUAGGUAUGAGAUGGGCCCGCGUCUGAUUAGCUAGUUGGUAAGGUAACGGCUUACCAAGGCGACGAUCAGUAGCCGACUUGAGAGAGUGAUCGGCCACAUUGGGACUGAGACACGGCCCAAACUCCUACGGGAGGCAGCAGUGGGGAAUAUUGGACAAUGGGGGAAACCCUGAUCCAAGCGACGCCGCGUGAGUGAAGAAGUAUUUCGGUAUGUAAAGCUCUAUCAGCAGGGAAGAUAAUGACAGUACCUGACUAAGAAGCCCCGGCUAACUACGUGCCAGCCGCUGC
rnacentral:rRNA from 1 species